rnacentral:rRNA from 1 species
GGAUUGANAUGGGGGCACCCUGAUCCAGCCAUUCCGCGUGAGUGAAGAAGGCCUUCGGGUUGUAAAGCUCUUUCGGCAGGAACGAAACGGUUACGGCCAAUACCCGUGACUAAUGACGGUACCUGAAGAAGAAGCACCGGCUAACUACGUGCCAGCAGCCGCGGUAAUACGUAGGGUGCGAGCGUUAAUCGGAAUUACUGGGCGUAAAGCGUGCGCAGGCGGCUUUUUAAGCCAGAUGUGAAAUCCCCGGGCUUAACCUGGGAACUGCAUUUGGAACUGGAAGGCUAGAGUGCGGCAGAGGGGGGUAGAAUUCCACGUGUAGCAGUGAAAUGCGUAGAGAUGUGGAGGAAUACCGAUGGCGAAGGCAGCCCCCUGGGUCGACACUGACGCUCAUGCACGAAAGCGUGGGGAGCAAACAGGAUUAGAUACCCUGGUAGUCCACGCCCUAAACGAUGUCAACUAGUUGUUGGAGGAGUGAAAUCCUUUAGUAACGAAGCUAACGCGUGAAGUUGACCGCCUGGGGAGUACGGUCGCAAGAUUAAAACUCAAAAAAAUUGACGGA